rnacentral:lncRNA from 1 species
GUUAUCAGCUUUUUCUUUGUGAAGGCUUUUUCUUUGUAAAGACUUCAAUAAAAGGAAAUGCUUUGUUUUUGAUUUCAAAUUUGUAUCUGUGAGUUUUGUGUGAAUUUUGUUCGGCUCGUAGAGAAUAGCUCGGCAAAUACUUAGAUCGGCAUGAGAAGAUACUUACUGCUUAGCUCAGUAUGUGUAGAGUUCUAGAUAGCUUAGCUUUAGCAUAACUGAGGCAUCAUAAUAACCAUUUCAGCACUACCCCCC